rnacentral:rRNA from 1 species
UACGUAGGGUGCAAGCGUUGUCCGGAUUUAUUGGGCGUAAAGGGCUCGUAGGCGGUUUGUCGCGUCGGGAGUGAAAACCCAGGGCUUAACCCUGGGCUGGCUUCCGAUACGGGCAGACUAGAGGUAUGCAGGGGAGAACGGAAUUCCUGGUGUAGCGGUGAAAUGCGCAGAUAUCAGGAGGAACACCGGUGGCGAAGGCGGUUCUCUGGGCAUUACCUGACGCUGAGGAGCGAAAGUGUGGGGAGCGAACAGG